rnacentral:rRNA from 1 species
AACGAACGCUGGCGGCAGGCUUAACACAUGCAAGUCGAACGGCUGUAGCAAUACAGCAGUGGCAGACGGGUGAGUAACACGUGGGAACCUUCCUCGGGGUACGGAACAACUCAGGGAAACUUGAGCUAAUACCGUAUACGUCCGUAAGGAGAAAGAUUCAUCGCCCCGAGACGGGCCCGCGUCGGAUUAGGUAGUUGGUGGGGUAACGGCCUACCAAGCCUACGAUCCGUAGCUGAUCUGAGAGGAUGAUCAGCCACACUGGGACUGAGACACGGCCCAGACUCCUACGGGAGGCAGCAGUGGGGAAUCUUGGACAAUGGGCGCAAGCCUGAUCCAGCCAUGCCGCGUGAGUGAAGAAGGCCUUAGGGUUGUAAAGCUC